rnacentral:rRNA from 1 species
GACGAACGCUGGCGGCGUGCUUAACACAUGCAAGUCGAACGGUGAAGGGACCGGUUUUUGCUGGUUCUGGAUGAGUGGCGAACGGGUGAGUAACACGUGAGUAACCUGCCCCCUUCUUCUGGAUAACCGCAUGAAAGUGUGGCUAAUACGGGAUAUUCUGCGCCUGCUGCAUGGUGGGUGUGGGAAAGAUAUUGUUUCGGUGGGGGUUGGGCUCGCGGCCUAUCAGCUUGUUGGUGGGGUGAUGGCCUACCAAGGCGGGGACGGGUAGCCGGCCUGAGAGGGUGGACGGUCACACUGGGACUGCGACACGGCCCAGACUCCUACGGGAGGCAGCAGUGGGGAAUAUUGCACAAUGGGCGCAAGCCUGAUGCAGCGACGCCGCGAGAGGGAUGGAGGCCUUCGGGUUGUAAACCUCUUUCGCCAGUGAAGCAGGCCUGUCCCUUUUGUGGGUGGGUUGACGGUAGCUGGAUAAGAAGCGCCGGCUAACUACGUG